UGACGGGUAGCCGGCCUGAGAGGGUGACCGGCCACAUUGGGACUGAGAUACGGCCCAGACUCCUACGGGAGGCAGCAGUGGGGAAUUUUCCGCAAUGGGCGAAAGCCUGACGGAGCAAUCUCGCGUGAGGGAUGACUGCCUAUGGGUUGUAAACCUCUUUUUUCAGGGAGGAAUAAAUGACGUGUACCUGAAGAAUAAGCAUCGGCUAACUCCGUGCCAGCAGCCGCGGUAAUACGGAGGGGGUUAGCGUUGUUCGGAAUUACUGGGCGUAAAGCGCACGUAGGCGGAUCAGAAAGUUGGGGGUGAAAUCCCAGGGCUCAACCCUGGAACUGCCUCCAAAACUCCUGGUCUUGAGUUCGAGAGAGGUGAGUGGAAUUCCGAGUGUAGAGGUGAAAUUCGUAGAUAUUCGGAGGAACACCAGUGGCGAAGGCGGCUCACUGGCUC
rnacentral:rRNA from 1 species